AACAAGUGCAAUAGUGUCUACAUAGGUACAACAAAAUCGAAGCUAAAAACAAGGAUUAGUCAACAUAAAUCGGACUUCAAACUAAGACAUCAAAAUAAUAUACAGAAAACAGCACUUAUGACCCAUUGUAUAAAAAGCAACCACACACCAAAUUUUGAUGAAACAACAAUCGUACAACAAGAACAACACUAUAACAAGCGACACACAUUGGAAAUGCUACACAUAAUUAACACACCAACCAACAAACGACUAAACUACAAGACAGACACAGAAAAUUGCGCUCACUUGUACAGACACCUCUUAAACAGCCAAACAACCUCAGUAACAAUCUCCACGUCAAAAAGCGCAGACGUGUAAAAUAAUUGCCCUGAAGACGGUUUGCCGAUGUGCAACCGAAAUAUAUCGGAAGAAAAUUAAAA